UGAAGAACGUAGCGAAAUGCGAUACUUGGUGUGAAUUGCAGAAUCCCGCGAACCAUCGAGUCUUUGAACGCAAGUUGCGCCCGAGGCCUCCCGGCCGAGGGCACGCCUGCCUGGGCGUCACGCCUCGCGUCGCUCCGCGCGCCCGCCCCGGCGCACGGACGCGGAUACUGGCCCCCCGGGCG
rnacentral:rRNA from 1 species